rnacentral:rRNA from 1 species
UACGGAGGGUGCAAGCGUUGUCCGGAUUUAUUGGGUUUAAAGGGUGCGUAGGCGGUUUGGUAAGUCGGCUAUGAAAGCCCGGGGCUCAACCCCGGAACUGUCGUCGAUACUGUCGAACUUGAGUAGGGUUGAGGCUGGCGGAAUGGGCGGUGUAGCGGUGAAAUGCAUAGAUACCGGCCAGAACCCCGAUUGCGAAGGCGGCUGGCUAAGCCCUAACCGACGCUGAGGCACGAAAGCGUGGGGAGCGAACAGG